UUACUUCUGGCUGUAAUGGUUUGAGCAUUGGACUAUGACUCUGAAGAUUAGGGUUCAAAUCCCUACAAGGCCA